GGUUCCGUAGUGCAAUGGUUAGUACACUACCCUGUCACGGUAGAGAUUGCGGGUUCGAGUCCCGUCGGAAUCG
rnacentral:tRNA from 1 species